rnacentral:rRNA from 1 species
AUUGAACGCUGGCGGCAGGCCUAACACAUGCAAGUCGAACGAGUGGCGGACGGGUGAGUAAUGUCUGGGAAACUGCCCGAUGGAGGGGGAUAACUACUGGACACGGUAGCUAAUACCGCAUACCAUCGGAUGUGCCCAGAUGGGAUUAGCUAGUAGGGGGGGUAACGUCUCACCUAGGCGACGAUCCCUAGCUGGUCUGAGAGGAGAACCAGCCACCAUGGAACGGAGCCACGGUCCAGACUCCUUCGGGAGGCAGCAGUGGGGAAGAUUGCACAAUGGGCGCAAGCCUGAUGCAGCCAUGCCGCGUGUAUGAAGAAGGCCUUCGGGUUGUAAAGUACUUGCAGCGAGGAGGCGUUACUCGCAGAAGAAGCACCGGCUAACUCCGUGCCAGCAGCCGCGGUAAUAC